rnacentral:tRNA from 1 species
GCCGCCAUCGCAUAGUGGUAUUGCAAUCGGCUUGAGACCGAUGCCCUUUGGGCUCCCCGGUUCGAUUCCGGGUGGCGGCG